UACGUAGGGUGCGAGCGUUGUCCGGAAUUAUUGGGCGUAAAGGGCUCGUAGGCGGUUUGUCGCGUCGGGAGUGAAAACCCGAGGCUCAACCUCGGGCCUGCAUUCGAUACGGGCAGACUAGAGUAUGGCAGGGGAGACUGGAAUUCCUGGUGUAGCGGUGAAAUGCGCAGAUAUCAGGAGGAACACCGGUGGCGAAGGCGGGCUCUGGGCCAAAACUGACGCUGAGGAGCGGAAGCGUGGGGAGCGAACAGG
rnacentral:rRNA from 1 species